rnacentral:rRNA from 1 species
UACAGAGGGGGCAAGCGUUGUUCGGAAUUACUGGGCGUAAAGGGCGCGUAGGCGGCCUUCUAAGUCGAACGUGAAAUCCCCGGGCUCAACCCGGGAACUGCGUCCGAUACUGGAAGGCUUGAAUCCGGGAGAGGGAUGCGGAAUUCCAGGUGUAGCCGUGAAAUGCGUAGAUAUCUGGAGGAACACCGGUGGCGAAGGCGGCAUCCUGGACCGGCAUUGACGCUGAGGCGCGAAAGCCAGGGGAGCAAACGGG